GCAGGAGGAAUUGCAGAGCCGGAGACGCGCUUUGGUGGGAAAAGGAUUCCUCGCCAGGACGGGGGCUUAGCGCCAGAGUGGAAGGCACAGAUUGCGCGUCGGGGGCCGCCGCGGAGCGAAGCGCUUCGUUAUCCGGCUGUGAACAAACGCGCGGCGCGGAGCCCGGCGGGAGCCAAGCAAAAGGUGAUGGGCGGUGUUCUGUGAAAGCUGUGAGUAAACGGUGACCUCUAACUCGCCGUAUCCUUUCCUUAAGUAAACCGGAGGAAAUGAAGAGCGCUGGUAUUGUCUGAAAAUAUCCUCCUGCGGCUAAAUAUAUCACUUGAUUCCUAUUGUCCAGCGGCUAUUCAUUUUGCGUAAAUACAGCUGUUUUCGUCCUCACCGUACUCGCUGUAACUCAUAAUAAUAAAACCAUCUUGACUUGGGAACCCGGCGAAAAAUGGAAACUUAUUUCUGGGAUACCCCAAGCAGCAACGGUUAAAUAACCCAAAGCGAUGCGGCUCCGGCUCCCUGUCCGAGCUGUUGCGGGUGGGAGCAGUAAGCGGGGAGCGGGCGGUGCUCGGCUGCCGAGGGCCCGGCGCGCUGCUCCCCGCGGCCCCGCUGCUUCCAAGGGCAUCACCUCGGGCAAGGAGGAGACGUGGGAAUACGAGACGGGAAGAGGGCAUGCAGUCACUCCGCCUUGUGAAGCUUAUAGGACACCAGCUCUCCAGUACAUUUCACAGCAUUCGGCCUUCUCCGUUUUUGGAAAAAUAACGAUGAAUGAACAUGGGAAGCCCAACGGGCAGUUUAAUUUCCAAAGCAACUUCUUUCUGUUAUGAAACAGAGCACAGACUAAGAUACCGCUGCCAUGUCUUCUGCUCUUUCCUGAAUCUGCCAGAAGGAUACAUUGCCUGGUACUAGAAUAAUCCUACGGGACAUUUAUGAUCACGGCUAAGAAAAAGGAAGAUCUCCUAUGGAAUCAAGUAUGGAAAAUGAACACCGCUCAAGGCAGGUGGCAACGAAAAAAAUGGCUUACUUGCCUCCCUGGGGAUGAGGGAAAGAAAAAUGGAACAGAACAAAGCUGUGCAAGUAACCAAAAAAUGGAAGUUUAAACUCCAAACUGUAAUAUAAUAAAAAAUAAUCACCGGACA
rnacentral:lncRNA from 1 species